GUACCGUGAGGGAAAGGUGAAAAGCACCCCGACGAGGGGAGUGAAAGAGACCUGAAACCGAAUGCCUACAAACAGAUGGAGCUCAAGGUUCGUCCUGAGUGACAUCGUACCUUUUGUAUAAUGGGCCAGCGACUUAAUUUGACGAGCAAGCUUAAGCCGAUAGGCGUAGGCGCAGCGAAAGCGAGUCUGAAUAGGGCGUCCAAGUUCGUCGGAUUAGACCCGAAACCUAGUGAUCUAGCCAUGGUCAGGUUGAAGGUGGGGUAACACCCACUGGAGGACCGAACCGGUGUCUGUUGAAAAAGCCUCGGAUGAACUGUGGCUAGGGGUGAAAGGCCAACCAAACUGGGAAAUAGCUGGUUUUCCGCGAAAGAUAUUUAGGUAUCGCCUCGGACGAAUGCCGUGAGGGGUAGAGCACUGGAUGGGCUAGGGGGACUUACCGUCUUACCAAACCUAACCAAACUCCGAAUACUCACGAGCACUAUCCGGGAGUCACACAGUGGGUGCUAACGUCCAUUGUGGAGAGGGAAAAAACCCUGACUAACAGCUAAGGCCCCUAAUUCGUGGCUAAGUGUGAAAGGAUGUGGGAGUUCCAUAACAACCAGGAGGUUGGCUUAGAAGCAGCCAUCCUUUAAAGAAAGCGUAACAGCUCACUGGUCUAAUUAAGAACUCCUGCGCCGAAAAUGUAACGGGGCUCAAGCCACGAGCCGAAGCUUUAGGUGUGCACGCAAGUGUACGCGGUAGCGGAACGUUCUGUAAGCCUGCGAAGGGAGACCCGUGAGGGCUCCUGGAGGUAUCAGAAGUGCGAAUGCUGGCACGAGUAACGAAAAACAGUGUGAAAGACACUGUCGCCGAAAAUCCAAGGGUUCCUGCGUAAAGCUAAUCUGCGCAGGGUUAGUCGGUCCCUAAGGCGAGGCCGAAAGGCGUAGUCGAUGGGAAUGCAGUUAAUAUUCUGCAACCAGUGGGUAGUGACGAAUUCUGUAAGUUGUCUGUCCUUAUUGGAUUGGAUGGGCUGCGAAAGAGUUCCAGGAAAUAGCUCCCACAUAGACCGUACCCGAAACCGACACAGGUGGAUUGGUAGAGUAUACCAAGGCGUUUGAGCGAACUAUGUUGAAGGAACUCGGCAAUUUACCUCCGUAACUUCGGGAUAAGGAGGACCAUUGCUUGCGCAAGCAGGCAGUGGUGGCACAGACCAGGGGGUGGCGACUGUUUAACAAAAACACAGGGCUCUGCGAACUCGGAAGAGGACGUAUAGGGUCUGACGCCUGCCCGGUGCCGGAAGGUUAAGAGGAGGAGUGCAAGCUUUGAAUCGAAGCCCCGGUAAACGGCGGCCGUAACUAUAACGGUCCUAAGGUAGCGAAAUUCCUUGUCGGGUAAGUUCCGACCUGCACGAAUGGCGUAACGACUUCCCCGCUGUCUCCAACAUAGGCUCAGUGAAACUGAAUUCCCCGUGAAGAUGCGGGGUUCCUGCGGUCAGACGGAAAGACCCCGUGCACCUUUACUAUAGCUUUGCAAUGGCAUUCGUGACUGUUU
rnacentral:rRNA from 1 species